AAACGACUCUCGGCAACGGAUAUCUCGGCUCUCGCAUCGAUGAAGAACGUAGCGAAAUGCGAUACUUGGUGUGAAUUGCAGAAUCCCGUGAACCAUCGAGUCUUUGAACGCAAGUUGCGCCCAAAGCCAUCCGGCUGAGGGCACGUCUGCCUGGGCGUCAAUC
rnacentral:rRNA from 1 species